GACGAACGCUGGCGGCGUGCUUAACACAUGCAAGUCGAACGGAAAGGCCCUGCUUUUGUGGGGUGCUCGAGUGGCGAACGGGUGAGUAACACGUGAGUAACCUGCCCUUGACUUUGGGAUAACUUCAGGAAACUGGGGCUAAUACCGGAUAGGAGCUCCUGCUGCAUGGUGGGGGUUGGAAAGUUUCGGCGGUUGGGGAUGGACUCGCGGCUUAUCAGCUUGUUGGUGGGGUAGUGGCUUACCAAGGCCUUGACGGGUAGCCGGCCUGAGAGGGUGACCGGCCACAUGGGGACUGAGAUACGGCCCAGACUGCAACGGGAGGCAGCAGUGGGGAAUAUGGCACAAUGGGCGGAAGCCUGAUGCAGCAACGCCGCGUGCGGGAUGACGGCCUGCGGGUUGUAAACCGCUUUCGCCUGUGACGAAGCGUGAGUGACGGUAAUGGGUAAAGAAGCACCGGCUAACUACGUG
rnacentral:rRNA from 1 species